rnacentral:rRNA from 1 species
ACCUUUGACAUGUACGGAAUUUGCCAGAGAUGGCUUAGUGCUCGAAAGAGAGCCGUAACACAGGUGCUGCAUGGCUGUCGUCAGCUCGUGUCGUGAGAUGUUGGGUUAAGUCCCGCAACGAGCGCAACCCUUGUCAUUAGUUGCUACGAAAGGGCACUCUAAUGAGACUGCCGGUGACAAACCGGAGGAAGUGGGGAUGACGUCAAGUCCUCAUGGCCCUUAUAGGUGGGGCUACACACGUCAUACAAUGGCCGGUACAAAGGGUCGCAAACCCGCGAGGGGGAGCCAAUCCAUCAAAGCCGGUCGUAGUCCGGGUCGCAGUCUGCAACUCGACUGCGUGAAGUCGGAAUCGCUAGUAAUCGUGGAUCAGCAUGUCACGGUGAAUACGUUCCCGGGUCUU